CUGGAAUGACUCAUUUGAUCACUGAAUCAUUUGAAUUCAAUUUCAAUUC
rnacentral:tRNA from 1 species